rnacentral:rRNA from 1 species
ACGAACGCUGGCGGCGUGCUUAACCCAUGCAAGUCGAACGGAGAGGCCCUGCUUUUGUGGGGUGCUCGAGUGGCGAACGGGUGAGUAACACGUGAGUAACCUGCCCUUGACUUUGGGAUAACUUCAGGAAACUGGGGCUAAUACCGGAUAGGAGCUCCUGCUGCAUGGUGGGGGUUGGAAAGUUUCGGCGGUUGGGGAUGGACUCGCGGCUUAUCAGCUUGUUGGUGGGGUAGUGGCUUACCAAGGCUUUGACGGGUAGCCGGCCUGAGAGGGUGACCGGCCACAUUGGGACUGAGAUACGGCCCAGACUCCUACGGGAGGCAGCAGUGGGGAAUAUUGCACAAUGGGCGGAAGCCUGAUGCAGCAACGCCGCGUGCGGGAUGACGGCCUUCGGGUUGUAAACCGCUUUCGCCUGUGACGAAGCGUGAGUGACGGUAAUGGGUAAAGAAGCACCGGCUAACUACGUG